GAUAUGUUUCUCUGUGUCUGCAAAAAUGUUAACUUCUCUAGUAAUCCAGUUUCAGCUGUUGCUACUGCUAAUGCAUAAGUGUAUAGGCCAAGAAAUACAUGCCAUGAAAAGUUAACACAUGUUCUUCACUACACAUCAAACAAGAAGAACACAAAUACUCAAUGCUGAAGAAGAAGAUAAUCAACAAUCAGAAAAAGUGAGAAGAACUCAAAGCUCAAAAUUCCAAAGUUAUUUUUAGAUUUCAUAGAAAGAAACACUUGUUUAAUUCAUAAAUAUUUUCUAAGUGUUUUUCUUAGAGUAUUUGAUUUACUUUGAAAUCACUUAGUUAGAAGCAAACACUUAAAGUUCCAAUCUUUUGUAUCCAACCCAAUAGUGGUUUAGUUCCUUCUUCAAUCUAGGUUUGUUAGGCUGUUAUGAGAACAUUUGACUUGCACAAUCAAGGUGGUUAGUUCCUCAAAAGUCUGAGGUAGGCUGGCUUGGAGGGUCAGGUGCUUUUGUAAUUCAAGGUAUUUGAAUUAGUGGAUUAAAUCCUUCUGAAUGAGGAAUUGGAUGUAGUCAAGUUAGUUGUGAACUAUGAUAAAUUUAUGUGUCUAAUUAUUUAUGCUUUCA